CCACAGUGUUUACUGGGGGGGCUCUUGGGGGUGGGGGGGACCCUGCAGAGGGGGAGGGUCCUGGAGUGUCUGUGUGUGGUCUUGGGGGGGGUUCCAGAGAUGUUUUGGGGUCCUGGAGGUGUCCAAGGGGGUUUUGUGUGUGGUCCUGGGGGUGUUCAAGGGGUGUCCCAGAGAUGUUUUGGGGUCCCACAGGGAUCAUGUGCGUGGCCCUGGGGAUGUUUUGGGGUUGUGGGGAAUUCUGGAGAUGUUUUGGGGUCCCGUGGGGGGUCGUGUGCGUGGUCCUAGUGGGGUCCCAGCUGGGUCCUGUAAGUGUUUUGGGGUCCCAUGGGGGUUUUGUGCGUGGUCCUAGGGGGUCCCUAAGGAUGUGCUGGGGGUGCACUGUGGUCCUGGGGGGGUUUCAGAGAUGUUUUGGGGUCCUGGUGGGAUCCUGGGAAUGCUUUGGUGUCCCUUGGGGGUCGUGUGCAUGGUCCUGGGGGGUCCCUAAGGGUGUCCCAGAAGUGGUUUGGGGUCCUGGGGAUGCUUUGGGGUCCCUUGAGAGUUUUGUGAGAGGUCCUGGGGGUGUCUCAGAGAUGUUUUGGGGUCCUGGUGGGAUCCUGGGAAUGGUUUGGGGUCUCUUGGGGGUUUGGGUUCUGUGAGGGGUCCUGGUGAGAUCCUGGGAAUGCUUUGGGGUCCCUUGAGGGUUUUGUGAGGGGUCCUGGGGGGGUUCCCAGAGGUGUUUUGGGGUCCCAUGGGAGUUGUGUGCAUGGUCCUAGUGGGGUCCUGGAAAUGUUUUGGGGUCCCAUGGGGGUUUUGUGCAUGGUUGUGGAGGGUCCCUAAAGGGGUCCUGGGGGUGUUUUCUGUGUGGUCCUAGUGAGGUCUUGGGGGUGUCCCAGAGGAGUUCUGGGGUCCCUAAGGGUGUCCCAGAGGAGUUUUGGGGUCCUGGGGGUGUCCCAGAGGUGUUUUGGGGUGCUGAGGGUGUUCUUUGUGGUCCUGAAGUACUCCUGGGGGUGUCCUGUGGUUCAGGGGUGUCCCAGAGGUGUUUUCAGGUCCUGGGGAUGUCCCACCAGUUUUUUUGGGGUGCUGGAGGUGUCCCAGAGGUGUUUUGGGGUCCCUAAGGGUGUCUCAGAGGUGUUUUGGAUUCUGGGAGUGUCCCAGAGAAGUUUUGGGGUCCUAAAGUGCAUUGGGGUCCCUUGGGGUGCAUCGUGGUCCUGAAGGUCCCUGGGGGUCCCUGGGGAUGUCUGGUGGGGGGUCCUGGGGACAUUUUAGGGUCCUGGGGGUGUUUUGGGGUCCUGGGGGGCUCCUGGAGUGCUCUGGGGUCCCUCUCAGGUGUGGGGUGAUGCUCUGGGGUCCCUCUCAGGUGUGGGAUGAUGCUCUGGGGUCUCUCUCAGGUGUGGGGUGAUGCUCUGGGGUCCCUCAGGUGUGGGGUGAUGCUCUGGGGUCUCUCUCAGGUGUGGGGUGAUGCUCUGGGGUCUCUCAGGUGUGGGGUGAUGCUCUGGGGUCCCUCUCAGGUGUGGGGUGAUGCUCUGGGUGUGUCUCAGGUGUGGGAUGAUGCUCUGGGGUCCCUCUCAGGUGUGGGAUGAUGCUCUGGGUCCCUCAGGUGUGGGAUGAUGCUCUGGGGUCUCUCUCAGGUGUGGGGUGAUGCUCUGGGGUCUCUCAGGUGUGGCUCAGGUGUGAGAUGAUGCUCUGGGGUCUCUCAGGUGUGGGAUGAUGCUCUGGGGUCUCUCUCAGGUGUGGGGUGAUGCUCUGGGGUCUCUCAGGUGUGGGGUGAUGCUCUGGGGUCUCUCUCAGGUGUGGGAUGAUGCUCUGGGGUCCCUCAGGUGUGGGAUGAUGCUCUGGGGUCUCUCUCAGGUGUGGGGUGAUGCUCUGGGGUCCCUCUCAGGUGUGGGGUGACGCUCUGGGUCCCUCAGGUGUGGGGUGAUGCUCUGGGGUCUCUCUCAGGUGUGGGAUGAUGCUCUGGGGUCUCUCAGGUGUGGGGUGAUGCUCUGGGGUCUCUCUCAGGUGUGGGAUGAUGCUCUGGGGUCUCUCAGGUGUGGGGUGAUGCUCUGGGGUCUCUCAGGUGUGGGGUGAUGCUCUGGGGUCCCUCUCAGGUGUGGGAUGAUGCUCUGGGGUCCCUCUCAGGUGUGGGGUGAUGCUCUGGGGUCCCUCUCAGGUGUGGGAUGAUGCUCUGGGGUCUCUCAGGUGUGGGGUGAUGCUCUGGGGUCCCUCUCAGGUGUGGGGUGAUGCUCUGGGGUCCCUC